rnacentral:tRNA from 1 species
CACGGGUGUCGGCGGCGGCAGGAACGCCAAGGCCUUCGACGCCUGGGUCGACGGCGUACGGUCGGAGUUCAAGGCCCCGACCAGCGA